CAUUAAGUGGCCGAAAAUAAGCAUUGAUCUCUUAAAUCAAAUAAUAGUAUUAAAAAAUAUUCUUAAUG
rnacentral:tRNA from 1 species